CCUACGGGAGGCAGCAGUAGGGAAUCUUCCGCAAUGGACGAAAGUCUGACGGAGCAACGCCGCGUGAGCGAUGAAGGCCUUCGGGUCGUAAAGCUCUGUUGUCAGGGAAGAACAAGUAUCGGAGUAACUGCCCGUACCUUGACGGUACCUGGCCAGAAAGCCACGGCUAACUACGUGCCAGCAGCCGCGGUAAUACGUAGGUGGCAAGCGUUGUCCGGAAUUAUUGGGCGUAAAGCGCGCGCAGGCGGCCUUUUAAGUCUGAUGUGAAAGCCCCCGGCUCAACCGGGGAGGGUCAUUGGAAACUGGAAGGCUUGAGUGCAGAAGAGAAGAGCGGAAUUCCACGUGUAGCGGUGAAAUGCGUAGAGAUGUGGAGGAACACCAGUGGCGAAGGCGGCUCUUUGGUCUGUAACUGACGCUGAGGCGCGAAAGCGUGGGGAGCGAACAGGAUUAGAUACCCUGGUAGUCCACGCCGUAAACGAUGAGUGCUAAGUGUUGGGGGGUUUCCGCCCCUCANUGCUGCAGCUAACGCAUUAAGCACUCCGCCUGGGGAGUACNGCCCCNAGGCUGAAACUCAAAUGAAUUGACGGGG
rnacentral:rRNA from 1 species